rnacentral:lncRNA from 1 species
UUGAUUGCUUGUGUAUUGCUGUGAGAUUGAUAUGGCACCUUGCCAAAAUUGCAAAUUUAAUACUUGUUAGGUACACUCAAAGAGCCCAUGGGUGCAAAAACACACAUAUCUACAUUAACCUCAAAACAUGAUGGUUGUGUUGGAUGAAGAAAAAAAAAGGAAAAGGGUCUUGGUUAUUCUGACUUCCAUCUCUCUCUCUCAUUCAUGUUGGAUGCAUGAUAAGGAUUCUCAUAAGAGAGAAUGGGUGAAAGUGGGACAGUUGGGUUCCACAUUUUUCUCUCCUCUCAUUUGUGAGCUUCUUCCAGCAUUUGGGAAUCAAAUGCUUUUCACUUCUGCAAUGGUCUGAGAGCAGGAUAUUUGCCUCAUUGUAGUAUCUUGGUGGCAAUUGCAGAUGAAAGAACUACAUGAGUUGCAGAUGGAAGGCCUCCUUGAACUGCAAUAGUCAUCAAUCCAACCUCAGCUAUAAGAAAUUACGCUCACAAUGUACGUAAAAA